AGGGGUAGAUGGGUGGUCGCGGGGGCUUCGGCUCCUGAGGAAAGUCCGGGCAUCGCUGGGCAGGAUGGUCCUUAAUGAGGACUGGGGGCAACCCUAAGGAAAGUGCAACAGAAAAAACACCGCCCGCUUAAGCGUGGUAAGGGUGAAAUGGCGGGGUAAGAGCCCACCGGCGUCUAGGUGACUAGACGGCUUGGCAAACCCCAUCCGAUGCAAGGCCAAAAGGGAGACCGCUUUGAGCGGUAGGGAUGGCCCGUCCUAUCUCCGGGUAGGCCGCACAAGAUCCAGCCACGGAUCUUCAGAGAAAUGAUCACGGAUCGAUGUGAGUCGAUCAACAGAACCCGGCUUAUAGUCUACCCCUUCUU
rnacentral:RNase_P_RNA from 1 species